rnacentral:rRNA from 1 species
GAUGAACGCUGGCGGCGUGCCUAAUACAUGCAAGUCGAGCGAACAGACGAGGAGCUUGCUCCUCUGACGUUAGCGGCGGACGGGUGAGUAACACGUGGAUAACCUACCUAUAAGACUGGGAUAACUUCGGGAAACCGGAGCUAAUACCGGAUAAUAUAUUGAACCGCAUGGUUCAAUAGUGAAAGACGGUUUUGCUGUCACUUAUAGAUGGAUCCGCGCCGCAUUAGCUAGUUGGUAAGGUAACGGCUUACCAAGGCAACGAUGCGUAGCCGACCUGAGAGGGUGAUCGGCCACACUGGAACUGAGACACGGUCCAGACUCCUACGGGAGGCAGCAGUAGGGAAUCUUCCGCAAUGGGCGAAAGCUUGACGGAGCAACGCCGCGUGAUUGAUGAAGGUCUUCGGGUCGUAAAACUCUGUUAUUAGGGAAGAACAAAUGUGUAAGUAACUAUGCACGUCUUGACGGUACCUAAUCAGAAAGCCACGGCUAACUACGUG